CACAGCAGGCUUUAUCGCUGCUCAGCAGUUCCUAUUCCCCUCCCUGUAUCUUGAACUCUUCAGCAAGAGCCCACAGCUGAGGGAGGAAGUUAAAGGAGCUAUCAAGCAGCCGGAGAGCACAGUAGGCUGAAAGAUCCUUGGUUGCUUUAAAGCAGAGAACAGUUUUGUGCUGACGUGACUGCUCAGAUUCAGCUGCCAGUGCAUCUGUGGGGGCAGGUGAGUGUCUGGCAGAGAGACACACCGCAUCAACUCUUGGCAUUUCAGUCAGCCUGAGCUCAUGACAGGUGCUGGGCUGCUGCCUGCUAACUGUACCCUGUACACCUCAUGGAUAGUGAAAUCAAGGGGGGAGGUACUGGAUCCAUUGUUGGUGCCUCCAAACCUGAGUGUAGGGUGCUAGAUUCCCUCAAACAAAAACGUGCUCAAAAAAAAUACAACUUCUCAUUUGAUGUCGAUAGUGUUGCUAAUUAUCAUCCUGACUCUAAGGUGGGGCAAGGUUGUGUUAAUGGUGACAGCAAGGCAACUUGGGCGCCAUCUGGAAUCCUCUCGUGGCUUUGUUCAGGAUCUGGUUUGGGUCUCCUCCCAGCAAUAGACAAAGCUCAAGUGUCUAUGCUAUAGCUUUGAUGCUGUUGACUAUAAGGUUUUGUCUCAACUGUGGAGCCUGGCUGGAGUAGACUGUAUGGUAACUCAUCUUCCCUUUAAGCUGUGCGCAACAUUCCGUUUAACUUGGUACCUACCACACAUCUCACAUGGCUUGGAGCACAGCCAGCACCUAGAACAGCUCCUCUUGGUGCUGGGGAUGGGCUGACAGACACGCUCGGGUGGAAGGCCAAGAUGGUAGCGAGGUGAACCCUCAUGGAGAACACCGCCAGGUCUUGCUGUUUCAGGUGCAGGAAGUACUCCAGAAUGAGAGGCACUAAUGCCUGGAGGGUGCGUGUGCAGCGAUGGUCACACCAACACGAAAAGUGUUUCCACUUCGCCAGAUAUGUGGCUCUAGUAGAGGACUUCCUGCUGCCCAGCAGGACCUGCCUUACGGGGUCCAAACAUAAAGCUCCAUAGGGUUCAGCCAUGCAGCAUCCAUGCCGUGAGGUGGAGAGACCGCAGGUCGGGAUGACAGAGGCAACCGUGAUCCUGAGUAAGCAGGUCGGAAAGAAGAGGCAAUGGGACUGGAACCUCCACCGACAGCUCUAACAGCGUGGUGUACCAACUCUGAUGAGGCCACGCUGGAGCCACCAGAAUCACCCUCGCCCCAUCUCUGUGGAUCUUGAGCAGGACCUUGUGCACAAGGGGGAACGGAGGAAAGGCGUAGAGUAGGCAACCCAUCCGAGGAAGCAGAAAAGCGUCCGUGAGGGAGCCCGGGCAGUGACCCUGGAAGGAGCAGAAUGUGGGACACUUCUUGUUGCUGCAGGUGGAAAACAGGUCCACCUGGGGAAACUCCCACCUUUGGAAGAUCGGGUGGACGACAUCUAUUCAGAGAGACCACUCAUGCGAGUUGAAGGACCUGCUGAGGUGGUCCAUCAGCAUGUUCUGGAUCCCGGGAAGAAAGAACACAACCAGGUGAAUGGAGUGGGCUAUGCAGAAUUCCCACAGCCGAAUGGCUUCCUGGCAGAGAGUGGAGGAACGUGUCCCCCUUGCUUGUUGAUGUAGAAAAUGGCCAUGGUGUUGACCAUGAAAGCCACCACCCAAUGACCCUGCAGGUGCUCCUGGAAGGCUUGGCAAGCAAGGCACACCACCAUUAACUCCCUGAUGUUCAUAUGGAAGGAGAGCUCGGCCCACGACCACAGGCUGUGAGUCUGAAGGUUCUCCAGAUGAGCCCCCCAUCCCAUAGCCGACGCAUCUGUGACCAGAGACAAGGAAGGCUGGGGGUUCAGGAAGGGGACUCCCUCGCACACCACUUGGGGGUUGAGCCACCAGCAGAGGGAGGCGAUGACCCACUUCAGGACAGUGACGGCCGAAUUCAGGCUGUCGUGCCCCAGGCAGUAGAUGGAGGCAAGCCAAGCUUUUAGCAACCAGAGCCAGAGCCUGGCAUGCUGGGUCACAUAUGUACAUGAAGCCAUGUGGCCAAGGAGGCUCAGGCAUCCCCUUGCUGUCAAGGUCAGGACUCACUGAAGGCCUCAAAUGAUGCCCAUAAUGGCCUGGAAACGGGAGUCCAGUAGGAGGGCCCCUGCCUGAACAGAGUCCAGCACCACCACGAUGAAUUUGAUCCUCUGGAUUGGUUCCAGGGUAGACUUUGGCACGUUGAGGAGACCCAGCCAUUCAAUGGUAAACCUGACCGAGAGGAAGAGGGACUGCACCUGCUCUCUGGUGCAGUCCCGAAGCAACCAGCUGUCAAGGUAGGGAUACACCUGCACCUGCCGUCGAUGGAGAAAGGCAGCCAUGACUGACAUACACUUGGUGAACACUCGUGGGGCUGUGGAAAGGCUGAAUGGAAGGACCAUAAACUGGUAAAAAGUUAGUCGUUGACCACAAAGUGCAGGAAGUGCCUGGGCGCCAGAUGAAUCGCUAUGUGGAAAUACACAUCUUUCAUGUCAAGGGUGGCGUACCAGUCUCCAGGAUCCAGGGAAGGGAUAAUGGUGCCCAGGGAGAACUCGCAGAACUUCAAUUUUACCAUGAACUUGUUGAACCCACAAAGGUCCAGAAUGGGCUGUAAGCAACCGUUGGCCUUGGGAAUCAGGAAGUAUGGGAAGUAGAACCUCUUGUCCCUUAGUUCCUGCAGAAACUCCUCUACCGCUCUCAAGCACAACCUCAGUACCUGAUUGAUGAACUGCAACUUCAAAAUCACGUGAAUUUUCACAUUCAGGAUCUGCAGGAACACAAGAGCCCAAGGGCCUACAAAGAAACCCUCAACAGUGCAUCAACACAUUCUGUUCCCAGCAAGAAUAUUGUUGUGAACCCUCAAUUAUGAAGAACUGCACACAGUGUAUAACGAGCCCAUAAGGGUAAGGAUUCACUACAACAGCAAAGGUGUGAUCACCACCGAUCUAAGUCACAACAGUGGGACUGAAAAAAUCAGGUUGCGUAUGUGAGUACAAAUACCCAUCAGUAGAUGCAUCAAGGAAGUGAUCUUGAAUACAGUUAGAGACAAAAUCACUCAGGACUUUAAAUUAAAAAAAAAAAAACAACCCACGGGCAGUUCAGUCACUUUCUAGACAGCUACCAUAAAGAAAGCAGGGUGGGAGCACUUUAUGACCAGCGGUGCUCAAAACGCUGGCAGUCACUGUUGUGAGGAUGUCCUAGCUGCAGACUGCACAAAUGGAGCAAGUGAGAAAUCAGCAAUCACAGAAACAGAUUUCUUGGCAAAUUAAUCACAAGAGGAAUUGCUUUCACUUUUGGUCACACCUCUCUCCAGCGCCAGCGACAGGGUGUCUCAGUCAAGACUGCCUGAUUAUGAAACUCAACCCACUCGAUACAAAGGUAAUAAGUAACUUUUCUGGGCCCAGCAGCCAGCAAUUUGAAACAGAUUAUUUUUUGCAACAAAAAUUAUGACAGAGCUAUAGAUAACAGACAGAUGGGAAAACAAGAAAUGAAAAGCUUAUGGGUCAAAUUCAGAGAUGCUGUAGAAAGUGGUACAAGUUACACACCAGGAAAUGGGUGUAAGGAAGCUACAAGGGUGUAGGUAAUUUACACACUUGCGGGAGGAGCGGACAUGACACAAGUUGAAGUGUGUAGUGGGGGAGAGGGGUUACAUUUACAUACACCUUCUGACACCCUCCUGUUAGUUGUUUUUCCUGCUGUACUUCUAUCUUCCAGCCACUGCGUCUGCAAGGUUUACUAUUUAGUUACACUUCCCUCUUAUUGGCCUAUAUCUUAACACCACAUAGCCUCUGAAUUUGUCCCACUGAAUCUGCUCUUGGGCGGAAAGCAUCUUCUUAUGCCAUAGCCUCCAUUAACAUAGGAGUACCCCUCCUCUGAACCAGAAGCAACGGCCAUGGCUGCAUAGGCCAGCAGGGUUCAUGAGGGCUGCUUUUCAGUUGGUCCUUAGUCUUACUUAACUGUAACACAAAUACCAGUGAAAUAUUAGUUUUUGUUCAGAAAAUGCCGUGCCCUGUAUAUGGCCCAUGCUUAGCCUAGCUAGCUGAACUAACAGCCUUGCAACUAAAUAACGAACAUAAGGUGAGGAGCUUUUUUUCUUCAAAGUGAAUUUUGUUCCAUAGACCCAUUGCUGUACCUCAUUACAACAUAAAGACAUGAAUCUGCUGGAGAUAAUAGACUGACACUUUCACCUUUUCCAUGGGUUUGGAUUAUUACAGUGUUUUUGCUACUGAUAAGUUUUCUUGAUUUUUAAUUUUUUUUUUCAUUUUUAAGAUUUUCAGACUUUCUGUUAUAUAUCAUUUCACAAUGGGUGACUUAUUUAGGAACAAAUUAUGAAGGGGAGUGGUGGAUCAUGUGUCGUUUGAUCUCUUCAGAUCAAGACUGGAUGCAUUUCAGGGAGUUAUGCUUUAGACAAACACAAGUUAUUGGGUUCAAUACAGGGGUAACUGGCUGAAAUUCUCUGGCCUGUGACAUACAGGAGGUCAGAUUAGAUGAUCUAAUGGUCCCUGUCGGUCUUAAACCUCCUUACACUAUGAAUAAUAAUACUUUGUUUGGAUCCUUCAUCUUUAUGGAGAUUUACAAACAUUAAUUCUCAAAACCACUCUCUGAGAUCGGUGUUAAACUCCUUUUUACACAGGGGAAAACUGAAGAACAAAGAGAUUAAAGGUUAAAUUUC